rnacentral:hammerhead_ribozyme from 1 species
AUCAAGCUGACGUAUCCCAAAUAGGACGAAAUGCGAGUCAAACUGGAU